GUGGGGAAUUUUGGACAAUGGGCGCAAGCCUGAUCCAGCAAUGCCGCGUGUGUGAAGAAGGCCUUCGGGUUGUAAAGCACUUUUGUCCGGAAAGAAAUGGCCUGGGUUAAUACCCCGGGUCGAUGACGGUACCGGAAGAAUAAGCACCGGCUAACUACGUGCCAGCAGCCGCGGUAAUACGUAGGGUGCGAGCGUUAAUCGGAAUUACUGGGCGUAAAGCGUGCGCAGGCGGCGAUGCAAGACAGAUGUGAAAUCCCCGGGCUCAACCUGGGAACGGCAUUUGUGACUGCAUUGCUAGAGUGCGUCAGAGGGGGGUGGAAUUCCGCGUGUAGCAGUGAAAUGCGUAGAGAUGCGGAGGAACACCGAUGGCGAAGGCAGCCCCCUGGGAUGACACUGACGCUCAUGCACGAAAGCGUGGGGAGCAAACAGGAUUAGAUACCCCAGUAGUCC
rnacentral:rRNA from 1 species